rnacentral:lncRNA from 10 species
UGCAGGGCCCCAGGCUCGGGCUACGGACAUGAAGAGGGGCCUCACAGGACUCCUAGCAGACAGGAAGCACCCGACUCUCAGGACUUCAGAGACAGCAGCGCUGACAGCAGCCACCUGUGAUCAAAUAUUCCUUUUGCUCCUUUUUCAGGCUUGGAGAGUCACUGCCAGAAGGCCACGUGCUUCCUGACAGCAUAGUGGCACAGGCUGUUAAGUCCUGGGAGAGAGAGGCAGGGCUGCCACCCCUCAAAGGACAGAGGGGAGGUGGCCUCAGAGCCCCACUCACAGCCCUGGGAACUUGAAUACCUCAAAGGCUGCAAAGACCUAGGCCCACACCCUGGCCACUCAGCCCCUGACACAACAGAAGCCCUCCUGGUCAUAUGGCUUUCAGAGAAAGGAGCCCAACUGCCACUGCUUUUCCCAACCCACUGUCCCCAUAGGAAUAGGAGGCUGAGAUGCUCCUGGGUGCUGAAUGGGAACCCCAGGCUAAAGGCGCAGAGGCAAGGCUGCAGGAAAAAGGCAAAAAUUGGAUGAUCCCAGGAUGGUGAGGACAUCAUAAAGCAACAAUGGAAUUAGUCAUCAAUUAUUACAGCUUUUUAAUUUUCAACUCAAGAGAGGGCAACCCAUACUUUCCUUAGGGUUUUAAAACAGCAGUAUUUUUGCUCUUUACCGCGCCUUGGAUCUGAGAUGUCAAAGUACUUUACAAACAAAUACCUCCAAACACUUUGGGAUUGAGGCUUUUUACAGAUGGAGAGCAGGGCCCAGGGAAGAAGCGAUUUGCCCAAGGUCACGGCUGAAUCAGAGGCACAGCUGGAAACACUACUCAUGAAUACUGGCUCCUGGAGUCGGAGCUCAUCAACACCAGCCUGCCACCUCCCACACACACCAAAACAAAACCCCAAAGCCGGAAAACAGCAGCAGGAAGAAAAGUCACCUGCCCUCCACAGCCCAGGGUGUCCACACUGACAAUUUGCUGUACACAUUGGAAGCUGGGUGUGCAGGUCAGAUAUCUCUACAGAUUGCCAUUGCUGGACCCAGGAGAAUCAGUCAUUAAUGAAAGCUGAAAGUGCACUCUGCAUAUUUGGGCAGAUCAGCUUUCCAUCCUGAACCCCCAGGUGUAUAUGUCAGAAUUCUGGGCUUCCAGGAGGCGUUGAUGGUUCAUGCGACAGUUUGCUCUGCCUACGUGGCAGGUCUGGUUCUUUUCUGUGGUGGCUCCCUCCAGAACUUGCUCUACGUGCUCAGAGUUGCAGUGCAAGAUUCAGAGAAGACACAGUUAACAAGAGAGGGAGAGAAAGAGGAAAAGAAAAGAAGGAAGACAGAGGAGAGACUGCUUUGAAACCUGUGCAGGCCCUAGAACCUCUUUUUGUGAAGCCUCCAUUCCACACUAUGUCACAUACAUUACAGUCCCACGUUGAAUACAGUUUCUGAUUAUUUACCAGUUACGUUAGGUUGCAGUUUGCUGAUGACAACGUUAUGGUUUUGUAGAUAUUUAAUUAAACAUUUAAUACAUUUGAUUUUACAGUUUUCUUGCCUUCCCUGGAUUUUAGAG